UCAAUCUCGUGUGGCUAAACGCCACUUGUCCCUCUAAGAAGUUGACGCCGACGCAGUGAAGGAUCGGCGAACUAUUUAGUAGGCUAGAGUCUCGUUCGUUAU
rnacentral:rRNA from 1 species